rnacentral:rRNA from 1 species
GACGAACGCUGGCGGCGUGCUUAACACAUGCAAGUCGAGCGGACAGACCCUGCGUUUGUUCGUUUGUCGUUUGGCGCGCGGGUGUGUGAAACAUGAGUAACCUGCCCUUAACUGUGGGGUAAAUUCAGGGGAAUGGGGCGAAUACCGGGUAGAAGAUCCUGAUCCGUAGGGUGGAUUGGUAAAAUUCGGCGGUGGGGGAUGGAAUAGCGGCGUAUCAGCUUGUUGGGGGGGUAGUGGAUUAACAAGGCUUUGACGGGAAGCCGGCCUGAGAGGGUGACCGGAAACAUGGGGAAUGAGAGACGGCCCAGACGCCUACGGGAGGCAGCAGGGGGGAAUAUUGCACAAUGGGCGGAAGCCUGAUGCAGCAACGCCGCGGGCGGGAUGACGGACUUCGGGUUGUAAACCGCUUGCGCCUGUGACGAAGCGUGAGUGACGGUAAUGGGUAAAGAAGCACCGGCUAACUACGUG